AGUUACUGGCAUAGCUCUGUCACCAUAACCUCUAGAUGUGACUGUUGAGAGCUUUUCUUAUUAUAGUCUAGCUUCUUUACAUGAGUUUGAAAUCCGAUUGAAUUGCAAAUUAUAUUAGUAACUAUGGAAUAUAUGAAGAGUUUGGGGUCUUCUGUCAUUGAAAUAAUCAAAGCCAAGAAUAAGCGUGAAAUGUUGGAGCAAAAAAUGGACGACCUACUGAGUAAUCAGAGACAAUUUGUCGAAAAUAAUCGUCGGUCCUUGGAACAGAAAAUAAAAGAAAAGGAAAAGGAAGUAUUUUGUCAGCUACAUGACUUACUGGGAGGGGAUCUCCCGUGCGACCAGAUAAACAGGGACUUGCAGCAAGCCAACGACGCUCUACGAGCAGAACUCGACAAAGAAACGGAGGAAAAAAACCUUCUUUGCUUACAGUCUGAGCAACAAUUGCAAAAAAUCCAGCAGCUGGAAGCAGAACUAAAAACAGCCAGAGACUUCCUGAAGGAGAGCCAGAAUUACGCUGAAGAGAUGAAAAAGAAGAAUUUAUCUCAGGAAAUAGAAUUGAAAGAGAAACAAGCUGAGAUUACCCAUCUGCAGCUGUCUGCAGCUGAGUUGGCUUCUUUAAAAAAGGAAAUGAUUAACAUCAAGGCUGAGCAAAAGAAACUGAAAGAGCAACUUAAUAUCACACUUCACGAAAAUGAGCAACUGAGCAAGCUAGACAGUCUGAAGUCUUUAGAUCAACGGAAGAAGCAAAAUGGAGUCUCUCACACUAAACUGAAGACAUGGAUGCAAUCCUGUGCUGAUGAGAUGACACAGUCACUGACCCAGGACAAGGAGCAAGAGUAUGAGCCAGACGGACUCCCGGAGGUGGUCAGAAAAGGCUUUGCUGAUAUUCCUUCUGGGAAAACCAACCCCUGUGUUUUGCGCAGAACAGCGCUAAACCUAAAGACCAGUCCCCGUCUUGCUGCUCAAAGCCAAAAUUUGUCACCAUAUGGCCAACAUUUACAAAAAGGCAAUUUUGUCAAGAUCUCUAAACCGACAGGUGGUGGCAGCAAAUCACCAAAGGUAGAUGAUACUCAGCAGUGCCAAACGGAAACAGCUAUUGAACCUAUGGAAUCAAGAUCUCCUCUUUGCAUGAAGAAGCAACACACAGAAGCUGUUGCUAAGAACUCAAGGGAGAAUCUCCACACACACCAAGGCAGAUGUUCCUUGAGCACACAAAAACUACCUGAUGAAAAUGAACACGACAAAAACUGUAUGGUACAGUAAACCUGAGUAGUAUAAGUAGUAUACCAUGAAACAAACCCUGACCGCACCCCUUGACCCCUUAAACUCUGCCCCUUGACCCCUUAAACCCCACCCACCUGUCACCAGAAGUCCUGCUCCGUGGGGUAUUACUCCCAGGGUCAAGAUGCCACAUGACCAGAAGCAAGGUGUGUCACGUGACCAUCCUCUACCACUCAGGAAGGCUUUCAGCUGCUGGGGACCACCCCAAGAGGAGAUUUGACCAAUCAAGGCAAGUUCUGGGGUGGAGUGACCCAUCUGGAUGUGGGUCAUGUGACCCCUCUAAGAACUCCGCCUACUUCCCUCUACCAAUCAGGAUGGGGUUCACCCUGAUAGGACCUCCCUCAGAGGAGAUUUGACCAAUCAGAGUGAGUUCUGGGGUGGGGUGACCUGUUCGGAAGUGGGUCAUGUGACCCCUCUAAGAACUCCUCCCAAUGCCCUCUGCCAAUCAGAGAGCAGCACCAUUACCCCAUAAGUCCCAGCUCCGGGCAGAGGAGGCCAUCUCUUACCAAGGACACGUGUUUUAGAAAUUGUGGAAAGGCUACUGAGAGGAAACGUGGACUCCUUUACCACCCCCAUGAGAACUUCGGGCUUUGUUUUACCCCCGAGCACCUUUAGACCGUUGAUGGAUACCUUGGAAUCCGACCCCGAAACCCUUAUUAGGCACCCCGAUGAGUGUGACGGCUUCUCAUUAUUCACCUUCCUAGAAGUGGAAAGUGCUCAUGGCUUGGGGGAGUCACAGGCAGACAAGCUUGACGAUGCUGUGACAGUACCUCCCAUAAGGCUUUUGACAGUACCUCCCAUAAAGCUUUAUGGAAAUAAUGCUUGGCAUAUGUAGCAUAAACACAUUCUAUGUAACACAUCUCCAUAAAGGUUAUGAUCUGCUGAAUGUAUUAAUCCUAUUUGUAUGCAUGUAUCAUUUUUGUAUUCAAAGUUAUGAAUGUUGGCUGUGUACUGGCUUGAUUUCUAAAUAACCUUAG